UCGAGGAUCUUCGGCAAUGGGCGCAAGCCUGACCGAGCGACGCCGCGUGUGCGAUGAAGGCCUUCGGGUUGUAAAGCACUGUCGAGGGGGAGAAAGGGGCAACCUUGAUCGACCCCUGGAGGAAGCACGGGCUAAGUUCGUGCCAGCAGCCGCGGUAAGACGAACCGUGCGAACGUUAUUCGGAAUCACUGGGCUUAAAGGGCGCGUAGGCGGGCCGCAUAGUCAGGGGUGAAAGCCUCCAGCUUAACUGGAGAAGUGCCUCUGAUACUGGCGGCCUCGAGGGGUGCAGGGGCGUGCGGAACUUAGGGUGGAGCGGUGAAAUGCGUAGAUAUCCUAAGGAACACCGGUGGCGAAGGCGGCACGCUGGACACCUUCUGACGCUGAGGCGCGAAAGCCAGGGGAGCAAACGGGAUUAGAUACCCCCGUAGUCC
rnacentral:rRNA from 1 species